CCUACAUGGGUUCUAAUAUCAAAACUGUAAAAUCAAAGUUGAUGAGAAGAAGUCUAGCAUCCAGCCCUGUCCACCGACCCGCUUUUCUCCCUCAUCAUCUCCCUCAUUGCUGACCAUUGGUGAUGUGCUUGUCAUGGUCUUUCUUUUCUGCUGCCAUGAUCGAAUGCCCUGACAAAAGCUACUUAAGAGAAGAGGGUUUACUCGGCUCACGGUUCCGGAUUGCACUCUGUCAGGACAAGGGAGUUGGCUGCAGGAGCUGGAGGAAACCGGUCAAUUAACUCCAUGAAGAGAACAAGGAGCUUGUCCAACUGGUCCUUAAGGCCAAUGCCAGAUCUGGUUUUCUAGAGAUAAUCAUGUUGUCAACAAAUAAAGUUUGACCCCAACC